rnacentral:lncRNA from 1 species
AGACCUGAGAGAAAAGAAGAGGGAAUUGGCAGAAAUAGAAGGCGGCAGGGACGCUCUCUCACUUGUUCCCUGCAGUCAUGCCUGUAUGGAAUUUGGGAGUUUGCUGGACCAGGGGGGCUGCUUUGGGUACACUGGGAGCAGAAACCUGGGGUUCCAUCACCUGCCUCAUGGCGGGGCAUCGAGUCUGCUCUCAGCUCUCUUUCCUGAACACCAUUGCCACAUCUGUCUGUGCUGGUGACGAAAGAGAGAGAAGCCUCAACUGUCUCCUUUGUACUGCACUAGGCCAUUCCGCAACUCAAGCAGGAGAAAAACCCAGGAGUGGGGUGGCGUAGGCGGGGCCACCACAAGGAGCCCGUGCAUCAGGGGGCGCAGGCUGUUUCUGGAUCAUUCCACUGGGAAGGGGACAAAACCCAUCUUUUAUGACCCAUGUUCAGUUCUCAGUUGGAGUCAGAUGAGGAAGAGAAUGCCCAGCAAGGUAAAAUGGCAGAGCUAAGAUGCAAACAAACUCAGGUCUGCAAUGCCCAAACCCCUGUUCCUUUCCCUCCUUGUAUCUGAAAACUCUUCUUGGCACCAGGGGAGGUGCAUCUGGGAGUGGCUGUGUCUGCCUGCAUGUUGAUGCUGGUGGCAUGCACGUGUGUGGGCCAGGAGGUGGGUCUGUGACAUCCUGGGUGAAAGGCAGUGGAGCGAGGGCUUCUCUGGCAUUGCUGAUGGCUACCUGAAUCUCCUGUUUCUCUGGGCCGGCUCUCUAGCAGCCAGGUGGGGACGCACAUCUCGAUCUGCCCUCAGGUGCUCUAAACCGAGGUGAAGGUUCACAAAGCCGCCAGAACAGCUGCUUUUUCCUUGCAGAUGCCUAUCUGGAGGGGGUGUCUCUUGGCGACAGGAAUGGCAUUUCCCACAGAGGUGUUGGUGGCGCUUAAAACCCCGUUUAGUCAGGCCACACAGGAAAUCUGCCCAAUGUUUUCUGAGCCUGGGCUGGAAGAGGCCUGCAAGGAAACCACAGGAACACACAAUUUUUGCUCAUAAUGCAAUUCAACAGAGAGUUCUUGAAGGCCUGUGUGGGCACAUCUCUGAGACACCAAGAUGGUAAAAUUCCAGGAUUCUCCCCACACCCAGGGAGGACAACCUAGCUGCCCCACUGUGCACUUUGGAGGCACAGCCCUCAUUAGAUUGCUGUGAGGAUUUGGAAGGUCAAGUUCCUGGCAUCUACAACCCAUGCUAAUUUCUUCUCUUCCUUACUUUAGAGCAUGAUAUUCAUUGCUAACUGACAAAGAAAUCAUUUUUAAAAUGUGAAACAUUUCUUCUUUCUUGUUUACCUCAUUGACUUGAAAAAAAAUCUUUACUCCAUGGCCCUGGUCAUUUGAAUAGAAAAAUGCAAAAAUCAUAAUGAUUUUAUAGAUUAUUAGAGCCACGCAAACAGCCAAUUUAGACAAUCCAGGGCAAAAUACAUUCUGAUAUCUUAAGCAUCCUCUUUUCUUACUUGUACAUGUUUCCCCUUCAAGUCACUCAGAAAAAUGAGAGGACUUGGCCUCUGUUUCAGUCUACCUGCUGGAAAAAUCCUCGAGGGAAGUGUCUUUGUGGUGGAUGUGGUCUGACUUGGCCUGGAAGAUGGGGAGGGAAAGCCUGAACACAAAACUGCAGGCCUGCGAGGGACUGGGGCCUUACCUGCCCCAAUCCCCUUGUUCUGUAGAGGAGGAGACGGAAGCUCAAGCUGCAGCCAAACAGCUCAUGCAUGGCAGGGCAGGUACUGCAAGCAGGUGUCCUGGGGUCCUGUCCCAUGCUAUUACCAGCCUGCUGGUGGCCUCAGCAAAUUCCCUAAUACUGAGGGGCUUCCCUUAUAAUGCACAUACUGGGGAACCAGGACUUUGCACGCAAUGACAGAUGGCAGGGACUUCUGACCUCAUUAGGGAGGGCCGGCAUGACAAAGCCAGCUGUACCUCAGUGGGCCCCAGUGCAGGACACCAGAGACAAGACCACCCAGCCAGAUCUCCUCGAGACUGGCAAGGCCUGGUGGUCAGCAUUGUUGGCCGGAGAGGGAGUUGAAACUUUGAUGGGCACAUUUAAGCUUCAUGUCCUCUGGGCACCCCCCACUCCACCAUUGAUGGGAAUGGCACUGAAGAACACUGUGAGGUCUGCAGUGAAUGCUGCAGGCACCCCAUCCACAUUCCUCUUACAGCUGCUCUGAGUGUAGGCUGCAGACUUCUCCCAGCUGCCUCCCCUUCUAGAGAGCUGGGCCCAGCUAAACGGAAGCUGCCAGGGAGGCUGUGCUGACUCCUCUACCUAGAAUUUGACCCGUGAUUGGUUAAAGUGGAAAUACAAAAGACCAGCCCUUUGUCUCAAGGUGCAGCAACUGUGGUGCACGGCCUGCUCCAGAGGUUCCCCUGGGGUCAGGCUGAAGCCCACAUCAGCUGAGACCACGUGCUUGCUUUGCUACUUCCCCUGCCCCAUUCUGCUUCCCUCACUCCCCUUCUCCUGAAAGCAUGCCCCAAUUCAUCGCUUGGAUGAGACUCUCCAUCUCAGGCUCUGCUUCUAGGGAACCCAGUCUAAGUCACGAUCCAUUCUGGAAGACCUUAACACUUUCCACUGACUGUGAGAGCUGCCGAAUACAUUUUGACCCAUGGGUGGUUCCUGUCCUUGGUGAUUCCCCGACCUCUGGUGAGAUCUUUUCCUCUCUGGCAAGCCUCUGGAUGUUCUGACUUCAGAGGGGUUCUGGCUGCAGCUUUAACUCAGCCAUAUGUUGUGACAGCUCUUGGAGCAGCAUUACACGGGAGCAAUAUCCUUCCUGCUAAUUGGAUCUCAGAAUUCAUUUUCGGACCAAAGACAUCAAAUAAACCCAGGAAAUACGAAGCCGUUUGCAGUUAUGACUUGAGACGAAUUGAGUUGUUCAUCCUCUAAAGUUGUGUUCUGUUCCUUAUCAGCCUCAUCUGAAAUCUCAGACACAAAAGCAGAGAUGUUUCUGCCAGGAGGGGCGGAAAGUUCGGUCUGGUUUUGAUAUGUGUCUGGAGAUGAUAAACUUGGGAAGGGAAAUAUAGCAGAUCCAAUCCUCCCUCCCCCAUCUCCAUUAGGUCUUUGGCCUUGAUAGAUUUCAAUAUCCUGUGCAGCUGAUGUCUGACCCACGCAUCAAGAAUACAGCCUUCACACACCUGCCGUGAGAAGCCCUCUAUGACCUUCUGCAGAGGGAGGGAACUGCCUAAGAGCUGCUGAGUGCAGGAAUGCAGGGUGCUAAGAAGCAGGUACCCAGUUUGGGGUUAAAAUAUGUAUAAUAUAUCCAUUUGAAUACCCAUCAAUAAAUAUCAGUCAUGCUC